UUAAGAGCUACUGUUUCCAGCCUGCCUAGCCAGGCUCUCACCGCCCCGCUCCUCCCACGAGAACUGCGCCCCGUCCCCGAGCCCGGGUCAUGCUGGGAUUGUAGUCCCGAAGUGCCUGAAACAACGGGCGGGAGCAGUGAAGAGACUACAACUCCCAGCAUGCACAGCGAGGUCAACACAGCCCGGCUUUCCUCUUCAGGACUGUGCGCCGCCCCAUGUUCAUGCUGGCUGUGAUUGUAAUCCGGUCGCCCUGCAAUUAAAAAACUGGAAGCUAAUCAAAGACGACAACUCCCAGUAUGCCAGGUGUAGCUCCCACCCACUAAUCCACACCUCCCCGCGUCCAGAGCAGUACUGCCAUGUCAAGGGGAGCCUGGCUGUUCCCAAACCUCUCCUGCCUGCCAGGCGACAGUGGGACCAGGGCGGUUGGUCCUACCUUGUAAUUAUGUCACUACCUCUUCCUAAGAUGCUGGCUUCAUGCUUCGUCAGUGCCUGAAGUUUGAUUUCUCACGGAGCGGCAGGGGACCGGGGGCUGCUCACAAACCUGUCAGGGUUGCCAUAGUAACGCUACUCUUCCUGUAGCUGGACUCGCCCCACCCUUUCUCGCACGCUUCUUCCCUUGGCCCGGCCUCUCCCCUCAGCACCGCCCCUUCUCCCCCGCCUCUUUUAUUGGCACCGCCCCUCAUCCUCGCUCCGCCCCUGACACGCCCCUUCGGACAAGCGGCAGUGUAGUCCCUGCGUAGGAAUGGGGUUAAUGGCCAGAUGUCUGACACUUCUCGGACUUUUUGUGAUCCCACGCGGGAAGCUCCCUCCUGAGUGUCUGAAAUUGUCAGUUCACUGCCAGAAAUGGAUAUAAGCGAUCCCUGAUAACUUGGCACUUGCCUUUUCAAAGCCGCCGUUUCCUCCAUCCUCUGGGUUGUCACAAAUCCUCCUUUGCAGCACCGCAGGAGUGCCCCUUGGACCCCGAGCUGGCUGCAAGGCCCACACCUGGGUCAGGCCUCGCACAGGGACGCUCCUGCCACUCUAAUAAAGAGUAGAAAACGUCACACUGAAAGGCCUGACCCUGCUGCAUCCAGUCAGGAAACAGCCACAGGGAAGGGAACCCCUAAGCCACUUUGGGAGCCACAUCCACCACUUCUCUGCCCCUGACCCAGGCUGGUUCCUAGCCCUUAGGGUCCUACUGCGGACCUCCCGGCCAUAAUUAACGCAGGUGCAGGACCAGAGAGCCCCUUGGUCCCUCCCAACACAUGAGGGAACUUUGUGUGGUGAGGUCAGGUACAGUGUCUACGUUUCUGCUGUGAAUAGGGCUUUCUUGGAAACAAUUUUAAUUUCCCUUUUUAAAUAUCCCUUUGGAACCACAUUUAAUAAUUUGCUGGUGGAACUUAACAGUGAUAAAUCUUUGAAUCCAUUUUUCUUUUCUUUUUCUGACACGCAGUCUUGCUUUGUAGCCCAGGCUGGAAUGCUGUGACUCGAUCUGGGCUCACUGCAACCUCCACUUCCCGGGUUCAAGCGAUUCUCCUGCCUCAGCCUCCCGAGUAGAUGAAAUUACAGACAACCGCCACCACGCCCGGCUAAUUUUUGCAUUUUUUAGUAGAGAUUGGGUUUCACCAUGUGGGCCAGGCUGGUCUCGAACUCCUGAACUCAAGUGAUCUGCCCGCCUUGGCCACCCAAAAUGCUGGGAUUGCAGGCGUGAGCCACUGCGCCCGGCCUGAAUCCAUUUUAACACUGAGUUUUUCAGAUUAACUCGAAGUACCCCACAACUACACGCUAAUGAAACUAGAGGAGGCACAGCCUCAGCUCCGUGCAGGAUGGAUGCACAAGAGCAGAAUCUCCAUGGGACGCCUUUCUGGAGCAUCAGUAUUACUGCAGGAUUUGGAAGCAACAAGUUCAAAUAAUUUUCAACGUUAACACACUGGAAAUUUAAGAGAAGUCUGGAAACUCAUCUACCUUUAAAAACUGUCAGUCAUCUGUGCCUAAGUCAGACUUUCUCCAAGAAAAAAAAAAAAAGAAACUCUAAGGAGACCCUAUUUUUUAUUCUUCUAAGUAGUUAAAAUUAGAAAUCACAGCAAGUCAACAGGAAGCUCUCCUCUGCCAGUCUCCUAAAUCACAAUAUGGCCUUGUCGUGGCUGGAGUAUUUCAAAGGCUCAGUCCCACUCCAGAAUCGGCCCUGUCGCCUCCGCCCGCACUCCAGAGCCGGCUGAGAACCGCAGCGGCGCGGGAUCCACGUGCAGCGUCUCUCCAGGUAAGACCUGCAGCUCCCGGGACUAAGUGUGAGGCCCCAGGGCCCUUCCCGCGGAAUCGGCGCUGAGAAGCCCCAACCCCCCUCCAGCCUCCAGGACCUCAGUU
rnacentral:lncRNA from 1 species